rnacentral:rRNA from 1 species
GCCUUGGGUCCGGCAUAACCCCGGGAAACUGGGGAUAAUUCCGGAUAACGCAUAUAUGCUGGAAUGCUUUAUGCGUAAAAUGGAUUCGUCUGCCCAAGGAUGGGUCUGCGGCCUAUCAGGUAGUAGUGGGUGUAAUGUACCUACUAGCCAACAACGGGUACGGGUUGUGAGAGCAAGAGCCCGGAGAUGGAUUCUGAGACAUGAAUCCAGGCCCUACGGGGCGCAGCAGGCGCGAAAACUUUACAAUGCGGGAAACCGUGAUAAGGGGACACCGAGUGCCAGCAUCAUAUGCUGGCUGUCCGGGUGUGUAAAAUACACCCGUUAGCAAGGGCCGGGCAAGACCGGUGCCAGCCGCCGCGGUAACACCGGCGGCCCGAGUGGUGAUCGUGAUUAUUGGGUCUAAAGGGUCCGUAGCCGGUUUGGUCAGUCCUCCGGGAAAUCUGAUAGCUCAACUAUUAGGCUUUCGGGGGAUACUGCCAGGCUUGGAACCGGGAGAGGUAAGAGGUACUACAGGGGUAGGAGUGAAAUCUUGUAAUCCCUGUGGGACCACCUGUGGCGAAGGCGUCUUACCAGAACGGGUUCGACGGUGAGGGACGAAAGCUGGGGGCACGAACCGGAUUAGAUACCCGGGUAGUCCCAGCCGUAAACGAUGCUCGCUAGGUGUCAGGCAUGGCGCGACCGUGUCUGGUGCCGCAGGGAAGCCGUGAAGCGAGCCACCUGGGAAGUACGGCCGCAAGGCUGA